rnacentral:rRNA from 1 species
UACGUAGGGGGCAAGCGUUGUCCGGAAUCAUUGGGCGUAAAGAGCGUGUAGGCGGCCCGAUAAGUCCGCCGUGAAAGUCCAGGGCUCAACCCUGGGAUGCCGGUGGAAACUGUCGGGCUAGAGUCCGGAAGAGGCGAGUGGAAUUCCUGGUGUAGCGGUGAAAUGCGCAGAUAUCGGGAGGAACACCUAUGGCGAAGGCAGCUCGCUGGGACGUUACUGACGCUGAGACGCGAAAGCGUGGGGAGCAAACAGG